rnacentral:lncRNA from 1 species
AUGCAGUUCCUGUGAAAAGAGAAAAAGAAGGAAAAAUUGAAGUUAAAAACUUUAUGGUUGUGUGUUUUUUUUACUUUGGGGGUGUUUGAUUGAUGGGACAAUAAUAUGGGAAAAGCAUGUGCCACUUGACGGGGAGACGUGGCUCCAUUGACAUGUCACCAUUACACCAUAAUUUAGGUCUUCCAAUUUUCUUUGACAUUCAUCAGUCCUCU